rnacentral:sRNA from 1 species
UCUACUUAUUAGACUUAUAUCAUAAAUAAAGAUCUUUUCUUAUUGAUCUAAAUUACAGACGCUACUUCGAAAGAGAAUAUUAAUUAGAUCUAUAUAGAUCUACGUUACGUCAUACGUGUUUCAAUGUGUCAAUCGUCAUGGUACAUGGCACAUGCUGAUUCAUGAAUGAUUUGAAUGAUUCUCUCAUCUGUCAGAUCUAUAUUCUUAUUAGGAUGCCAAGAGAGAGGCCGGCCCAUUCUUUUAUACUGUCCAGCUUUUCUUUGAACGACCCUUUCUAAGACUUUCUUUAUGCUCCCGUCACUGUAUCUUGAAGAGUGACUUUUGAAAGUGAGUCAUCAAUAUGACCAAACCAGGAGCAGCUUUGGUCUCUUCACAGUAUUGAGGAGUCUGUAAGCAUGCUAAUUAGAGACUUAUAAAUCUUGCUUGUGUGUCAUGGACACUGACUGCAGAGCUAGAGAGGAGAAUCCUAGCAAUGGAAUUGAGAUGUUACAGAAGGAUCCUAGUACCUAGGUAUCACAUUCAAAGACCGCAUCACAAAUCAAGAGAUUAAUAUAGAGUAUUAUAGAGACAGGGUUACUUCAGCGAUUGGACUCCAUGAUGUAUUGUUAACUAUUGUAAAAUAAACACAAGCUAAAAAACUAUGGCCAUAUUACAAGACCUUCGGGGCUCGCAAGACCUUCCUUCAGUACCAGAAAAAAUACGAAGAGGCUGACAAAGAAAGCGAUGGGAGAACAACAUAAUAUAAUGGACGGGCCUGCCAUUGUCUUGCUUGGUGCUUCAACGGUCCAACAAAUUAAGGGAUAGGUUAAGGCGCGGUCAACCUGUUGUCCACUUCUCAUCUACAUCAAUGCAAUCAAGAUUUUGUGGGGGUGUUGUCAAUCGGACAAGAACUGACCAGCAUAAGCGUACUAGACUGUGCCAUCAACUGCUUGAAAAAUCAAACUUUUUGUAAAGGUUUCUCUUAUGACCUACAGACAGGAAGAUGCACUUUCGGUUACUGUAUCAUCCCAUGGCCAAAUAGUACAAGUCCUACUGUACAGUUGUAUCAGGUGCAGCAGCCAAAGUGUGAAAACACACCAGGAUUCCAAGUCUACACCUCUGGUAACAUCAGCGCUUGUCUCUGGAUGUCUUCAACGCAGAACAACUAUACAGAGGCAGCAGCGCAUUGUGUAGCCAUGGGCGCAACUCUAAUGUCACUGAAGUAUGCAGAGAAAUUGGACAUUUUAAAGAAGAACUGCAACACGUCUGCUUACAUUGGCCUUGAUGACUUGGGGACAGAGGGGACUUUUGUUUGGCGUGACGACCAGACAGUCCUAGAGAGUGAGCUUCUUCAUCAAAUAUUUAUCUCAGGU